CCUCACCCGGCCCAGAGUCACAGCCUUGUGGGCCGCGGGGUCCCUGGGAGCCGAGUCCUGGGAACUGAGGCCGGAGGCAGGGGAGGGUGGCCAAGUGGUCAGCGCCCUCCUUCAGCCGGACACGGCCGCGGGGCUCGAGGGCCAGGACUGUCAGCUAGACUGAGGCCGAGGGGCCUGGGCCUGCAUGUGCUUUUGAAUUUCACAGAGGAACAGCGGGGACAGACCCGGGCGUGGCAGCUCAGUGGCGUGGUUUAAAAUGGAAAAUGGACAAACGAGAAUCGGAUUUGAAAAGACGUUUCCUGCCCGCGCCCCCCAACCCCGGUUUUCCUGCCCAGAGACAGCAGUCACCAGCUCCGGGAGCAUCCACAGGGGACACUUGAUGCCUCCACGACCCAGAGGCCCGUGUCCACAGGGAGCACACACGGGACGGAGCGCACACGCAUGUGGCUCCGUUACCUCAGAGGAAACACAUCUUCGCCUUGGACAAAGGACGUCCUCGGGAGUAGCUUCUUGAAGUGGUGCCCAUCUUGGUGACCAAGGCGGGAGGCCCUGGGGAGUCACGUGUGGCCAGGAAGCUGGUGUGUGGUGAACUUUUCUGAAACCCUCAGUGACCUCAAAGGUGGGCAGCGCCCCUCUCCAUUCUUUGGACUGAAGCUCCCUUCAAGGAGGGGCUGGGCUUCUGCCCUGUGGUCCGGAGGACCUGGCCCCUCUGGGCCUCAGUGUCCAAGCUGAGGGACUAAAGUGAGCCCUCAGGCUGCUGGGGGCCUGGACAGAGACGGCACAGUCUAGAGACGGGGACAGCAGUGUCCUCUGGGAGCUGGCGCUCAGGGGCACACGCUGAAGAUCCCAUCACCGACCGAGCCCUGGGAGCCACCCAGACGUGCAGGGGCAUCACAGAGUGUAGACCUGAGGGUCUAGCUGGACCUCAGCCUGCUGUGCACUUCAAAGGAGCUUUCUCGGGGCUCUGUGGCCAGCCUGUCGUGGACACUGGAUGUUAAGUGAGGGACAGGAUGAAGCCCUUGGCUUGGGAGGGGCAUCCGACUGUCUCUGGUCUAACAGGACUUGAGUCCUGACCCCUCCCGUCAGACACAAACGCCCCGCCAGGACCGAGUCCCUGGAAGCACAGAGCGCAUGCGGCCCCAGGCCCUGCGUUCUGAGUGGUGGCACCGCCCUACGACUCUUUCAUAAACUCACCGAAGCCUGGAAGACGUCCCGGGUCCCUCUGAUCUGAGAAACGCUGCUGCCCGGACCUCCAUAGCCUCCUAGAUCCUCGCCGGCCUCCUCCGGGCCUGAGGAAGGCCUGCGCACAUGAGGGGCCUGAGCAGGUGCCCGCUGACCAGACGGUGCCCCCCACGAGCCCUGCACGUGGCCCAGAGGUGUGCCCAGGACCCAGCACCACCAGCCAGCGGGGUGGCCUGAAGGGUGGGCAGAUCUGGGGCUGAACCCCAAAGAGGAGUCUGCUGGCUGUCCUUCACGCCUGUCGGUGAAGACUGCGAGGGUCGGUCGGUGCCAGAGCUGCAGGCUGCAGGGCGGGCCUGAGGGGCCAGGCGGGGCCGGCUCAGCUAGGACACUGGUCCUGCUGGAGACCCUGUAGCUCGG
rnacentral:lncRNA from 1 species